UAAUAAGUGUUUAUGGCACUUCUUAAAUCCAUAUCCACCUUGUGUGCAAUGUCAGCCGUUUUCUUUAUGAAAGCGGCCAACAUCAACUUAUUUUUUAACUGUCUGUCUGAAAACUAUUAUGAAUAAACAAUUCAAAUA
rnacentral:misc_RNA from 1 species